rnacentral:lncRNA from 1 species
GGCGCCAUAUCUGCGCACGCCCCACCUUCGGCGGGCGUGUGCAGAUGUCGGUAUGUUGCGGUGGUCGAAAGGGACUGAACCCUAUGAGUAGACGGCCGCGGGAAGUCCUACCUAAAUAUAACCUAGCCCCUUUCGGACCUCGUUUGACUUUCUGUAGAAUGAUCUCUAGAACUGAAACCGGUCGGCGUGAAAAGGCGGCGCCCCGGCCUCUGUGAACGUUGUCCCUACUGAAGAAAUUCCUAUAGGGUUAGUAGAGCCUAGCUGCAUCCAACCCUCGCCAAAGAAUCUCUGUGGUUCGCCACUCGACCCUCCGAGUCCGUGUGGAUCCGGGAUUAAGAAUCGGUCCGACGUAUGCCCUGCGUGAGGUAUGAGUCUUCUGAAAGGGUCCCAAUCCGAAGGCGUUGUACCAUGCCAAAGGAAUGGCUGGCGGAGGGAUAGAAGCCGUCACGAUUCCCACCUGAGAGCCUUGCUCGGGCUGAGUGAGUUCAUCCAGAGGCUGAGGGAAGUAUGCUUCCCUAGAGAAUCAUCAAACCUCCGGGAGUUGAUCCGAGCGAUAUUCGACCGUGGCAAGGCGCCAGGAGCCCAGCCAUUGCACGGCGUCGGUCGAUAUCGUCUCCACGGUGGCCCACCAGUCAGGCGCUG